rnacentral:misc_RNA from 1 species
GCUCUACGGUUUCGUCUGGAGUGUGUACAUUCUUUCCCUUUUUGUUGGGCUCUCUGCUCCGCUCGCUCCGCCCCUCCACGGAAGCCGCACCCAUACGCCUACGCAGUCGCGUAUACUUCUGUAUGAGGAAGAGACGGGGUGGGGCACACAGCGAGAAAUAAAUAGAAUAAAAAGGUGCGUGGAGCGGCAGGUGACUUUUAUAGCAUGCGCUCUGUGCGCCUCCCGGCGAAGUAACCGCGCGACCAGAAACCACAACGAAACAAUCUGACGACGUUGUUCGUCCUGCACGCACGCGCUGAUACGUUGACAGGCGCAUCCUGACGUCUGCGCGUGAACGCAUAUGCGUAUAGAUAACGCGGAGGCGAAGAGACGAGAACAACAAGAACGAAAAAAAGUUCGAGAGACGGUGAGACACGGCUCCCAGGCUUCGGUAUCGCGUAGAAGGAAGGUAAUAGUCGUCACCCCCCCCCCCCCACACACACACAGACAGACACACAGACACACGUGUGUGUCUGUCUUAGUCGUGCAUGGGGUGCCACACGUCACGCACUUUCUGCACGGAUGCCCACGAUACUGCGGCUGCGACAGGUGCCGCCACGCAGUUGUCCACGUACGCCGGCGCACCGUUGGAUGCAGUGGUCGCCUACGAGCGUGCGGCGCUGCGCCUGUCGCACGAUCUCAGCCAUCUGAGACGCAGUGCGGAAACGACUACAGAGAUAGCGCUGGUACGCAGCAUUGCUUCCGCGCCGACGGGUAGGAACGGUCCGGCAACUGCGUCACAGCCUCCACGGCGUCCUCUGCUUCGGGCUUGCAUCGACGUGCAAAAAGCGUUGCGACGGCAGCAUGAACAGAGGCGGCACCACCGUCACAUGUACAAGGACAAAGAGGUGGUGACGGUGGAAACAGCUUACCAGGAUGGAGUCCCGGUGCUGCUGCAGGAGCUUGCCUGGGAAUGGUGCAGCAGUGCAGCGGGAGAGCGUCAGGGUAGAGCCAGUAAUGCUGGCAGGCCACCUGCGCUGAGUGCAGAACAGAUGGCAGCGUGGAAAACCCGCACCGCACAGCUCCUAUACGCCUAUGUGAGCUCACGGAGAUACAAGAAGGCGCUGCGGCGCGCGAGGAAGGCGGCAGCGACUGGCGCGAGAGUCCGCCACCCUGCUGCAGCAUCAGCAGUACGACGAGGUGACGAGGUCAGGAGCGACGGUGAGCACGGUGCGCCUGAGCCGCUUGUGUUUCGCACCUUGUUCAAGUCAUAUGCCGAACUGGGCCGCUCGCUGACCACAUCGCACAGCGCUGCCGUUGGUGCUGCGGCGCGCUCUUCUUCUGCGGUCAAUUCCAGAAGCACUGUGACACCAUCAAUGUGGUGCGCGGUGCUCUGUCGGUUUGUGAGUGCGCUUCCCGAGCCUCUGAUGCCAUCCUUGUGCAGUCGUCGUCUCGAGCCCUUCGCUGGCGCGCUCCCAAGCAGGUCUGCUGCCGCCACGACACCUACGUCAACCUCUCACGCGGCAUACGCGGCUGUGCGCCGAGUGGUUUCGGAGUCGUUCAUAUCAACCGACGUGGUUGCAUACAUCACGUUUUGCUAUAUCCUCGACCUCGUCCAUGAGCACCGCGCCGAGUUGACCGGGGACGAGGUGGAGGCCGUGGCGAAGGCGAUCGUGCGGGAGCCGAGCCUCGCCCAGACGACACGCGAGGUUGCCCACGCUUGCGACCCUGAAGCGCGCAUGUUUUGGCCUCCGCGAACGUCAGUGGCUGCGUCAUCAACGGCUGCUUCUGCUGCUGCCAUGGCGCGUGAGAAAGUACCGGGAGAGGAUGGCAGACGCAGCGUGAAGAGCAUAAAGGACGGGAGUGGAUGGAAGGGAGUCGCUGCUGCUGGGGGUGGAGAAACUGGUACGCACAGCCAACUCGCGGCAGCAAAACCAGCUGUAUGCGCCGACGUGGAAGUUGCUAAGACGCCAACUCCAUGGACGGCACCUGCCGCUGCAGGCGGUGGGAUGCGGCGACCGCCCACGUCGUCUUCCAGCGCCACUGGCAGUGAGGAAGACGACAGCGAGAGUGAUCGCCACUCUCCGGCCGCGGCGGCUCGCACCAUCUCAGCUGCCGCCCAACCAACGGAGGACAUGCACCGCGCUUCACCUGUCCCAAAGCAGGGCUCUUCGAAGGCUAAAGCCGCGGCAGGGUCUCACCUGCAACCAGAUCGAAAGGAGCGCAUUAUGGCCUCCAGCGAGGUGCCUUUCUUGAAGGGUACUUCUUCCGUCGGCGAGAGCAGCAGCUCCGUUGUAUCUGAGCACCGUCGCUACGUCGCUCAGCGUAGCGCCAAGCAACUGCUGUCUCCUUCAGGGGACGAGAACGUGCAGCGCCCUAGCGUGCUGGCGAGCCGCCCAGAUCUCACUGCUUUAUCAAUGAGCAGGCUCAACUCCGCUCUGUACCCAUCUGCGCUCGAAGACCCGGCGGCGUUGGAAGCGGAAGCUGAGGGUCUGCGAUGUGCCUUGCAGCGGUUCAGCGAGUCUUCGCUGUCCGCGACAGCCAGCAUCCGCAGCCACGACGACGGCGACGGCAUCCAUUCACGCUCCCCAAGCGGGGAGAGCGGCUCUCCACAAGGUGGUACCUCUACCGACAACGUCAGCGCGUCCUUGGCGCCGGUGCCGCCACGACCACCGCGGCUAUCGUCCUCACAUCGCGUCACGCUAACCCCCACCUCUUUCCAACGAGAUGAGCGCCACCUAUUGCCGAAAUGCGGCGGUGCUGCAACUCCCACACCGGCGGUAGCCCUGCUGCCUCCCCCCUUGGCGCAGAGGUCCGCUGCACCGCUGCCGGCAACGGCCUUCCGUGCGCAGGCGGAACAGCCGCUUCUUACAGCUCUCAUGGUCGCCAAGCAGCGCUUUCUGGCGGCGCUGAAGAUGAGUCCUGCAAGAGGGACCGCCGCCGCACUUUCGCCACCGCAAACCGCAGAGGUUGUUGACCGGACCGCCGCAGACGGCAAGGGCUGCUCAGGCAGCUUCGUUGAUCGUCGCCUUGAAAAUGUGAUGGCUUGCGCGCGCGAAAUGGGCUGGACGUCACCCGAGAGCCUCAUCGAGUCUCUCAAGGCGGCGCAGUGGCACUCGCACGGCAAGACGCCGGCGAUCACCGGGGCAGAAGCAGCGGCGCUGUCGACGUCACACGUGCCUGCGUUGAAGUCGGAUGCACUCAGCUCUUCGUGUGAUUGGCAUGCUCUACCGCGCCUGCCGCAGCCGCGCGCAGAGGCACCGCAUCAAGCGAAAAAGGGCGCGGCCGUCUCCGGCGCCAACUCCUCCAUCACCGAGUGUUGCUCUGGGCACGGCCCAGUGAGCCAGCGGCCCCACACGCCCCACCAGGGAACUGACGCAUGCCACGCCUUCCCCUCCUCUCGAACGGAGUCCGCCGAUUCAGCGAUGCGUGUCAAGGCGACGUGCGAGCUCCGCAGCGGUGGUGCUGCGCACCCGGGCCUCCCGGGCGAGUCGCUGCUCUCGCCACCAGCGGCUGAAAGCAGCCGUGUGGCUGGCACUGGGCAUGCGUAUCUUCCUGCUCCUCUGCAAGGUCAUGAAGGUCUCGUGAGCUCCGGCCUCACUAACCCCCUCACAAAACCGACUAUGCCCGCCAGUGCCACCGCCGGCGCUGUGGCUGCACAGCCUUUGAUCGAGUUGGAGCAGGAGCUAACGAAGCUGCGACAUCUGGUACGCACGCUCGAGUCGAAGCAGUUUGUUCACGCUCACCAGUCGUCUGCACAAGCGUCCGAGUUACAGGCGCAAUGUGCGGAGCUGCAGCAUCAACAGCUUGCGCAGGCGAAGCAGCUGCGUCUCGCUCGUGCACGUCUGAUGUCCGUGGGGAAUGAGCUGGAGGACUUGCGCUAUGUGAAGACGCACCUGCAACUGCAGCUGACGGUGUCCCAACAAGAGACCGCACGGCUGCGAGACACGCUGCUGAGAGGUGAAACGCGCACGUGACGUGCAGUAGCCCGUUCUUACACCGGCGUGCAUCACAGCGUGCAUCGUGCGCUUGCGUGCGUACGUGCAGGCGCGUGACCCAUCAUGUGAGAGGCAAGUCGAAGCAGACGGACAACGCGCAAGCAUGCAGACCCAGAAACGCACGUGCAUACGUGUGGGUCAUACUUGUCUGCCUCGCAUCUCCUUCCACCUCCUCAACGCUGGCAUGCGUUUGCGUGCAUGUGUGGUCGCCCGUGCACAAGCAGUCCGGAUGCGUGGGCUACAAGGUGAUCCGCACGUGCGCGCUGUCUCCGUGCUUUCGUGUGCUGCCACUUUGCUUUCUCCUCUUUCUACAGCGCGUGUGUGUGCGCGCGCGCCUG